AUUGAACGCUGGCGGUAUGCUUAACACAUGCAAGUCGAACGGUAACAGCAGAGCUUGCUCUGGCUGACGAGUGGCGGACGGGUGAGUAACGCGUAGGAAUCUGCCUAGUAGUGGGGGACAACUCGGGGAAACUCGAGCUAAUACCGCAUACGCCCUACGGGGGAAAGCGGGGGAUCUUCGGACCUCGCGCUAUUAGAUGAGCCUGCGUUAGAUUAGCUAGUUGGUGGGGUAAAGGCCUACCAAGGCGACGAUCUAUAGCUGGUCUGAGAGGACGAUCAGCCACACUGGGACUGAGACACGGGCCCAGACUCCUACGGGGGAGGCAGCAGUGGGGAAUAUUGGACAAUGGGGGCAACCCUGAUCCAGCAAUACCGCGUGUGUGAAGAAGGCCUGCGGGUUGUAAAGCACUUUCAGUAGAGAGGAAAAGCUU
rnacentral:rRNA from 1 species